rnacentral:rRNA from 1 species
GGAGUCUAACAUCUAUGCGAGUGUUCGGGUGUCAAACCCCUACGCGUAAUGAAAGUGAACGGAGGUGAGAACCCCNAAGGUGCAUCAUCGACCGAUCCUGAUGUCUUCGGAUGGAUUUGAGUAAGAGCAUAGCUGUUGGGACCCGAAAUAUGGUGAACUAUGCUUGAAUAGGGUGAAGCCAGAGGAAACUCUGGUGGAGGCUCGCAGCGGUUCUAACGUGCAAAUCGAUCGUCAAAUUUGGGUAUAGGGGCAAAAGACUAAUCGAACCAUCUAGUAGCUGGUUCCUGCCAAAGUUUCCCUCAGGAUACCAGUAACGUUUUCAGUUUUAUAAGGUAAAGCGAAUGAUUAGAGGCCUUGGGGUUGAAACAACCUUAACCUAUUCUCAAACUUUAAAUAUGUAAGAAGUCCUUGUUACUUAAUUGAACGUGGACAUUUGAAUGUAUCGUUACUAGUGGGCCAUUUUUGGUAAGCAGAACUGGCGAUGCGGGAUGAACCGAACGCGAGGUUAAGGUGCCGGAAUGCACGCUCAUCAGACACCACAAAAGGUGUUAGUUCAUCUAGACAGCAG